AGCUCCAUUAGCGUAUAUUAAAGUUGUUGCAGUUAAAAAGCUCGUAGUUGGAUUUCGGUGUGGGCCAGUCGGUCGGCCGCAAGGCUUGUUCACUGGCUGGUCUGCUCUCUCAAUCUCAAAGACUGCACGUGCUCUUCACUGUAGUGUGUGUCAGGAUUUGGGACGUUUACUUUGAAAAAAUUAGAGUGUUCAAAGCAGGCACGUUGUGGCCACUGAAUACAUGAGCAUGGAAUAAUGGAAUAGGACUACGGUCCCUAUUUCGUUGGUUUCGAGGACCGAAGUAAUGAUUAAGAGGGACAGUUGGGGGCAUCCGUAUUUCGUAGUCAGAGGUGAAAUUCUUGGAUCUACGAAAGACGAACAACUGCGAAAGCAUUUGCCAAGAGUGUUUUCA
rnacentral:rRNA from 1 species